rnacentral:lncRNA from 1 species
UGUAUCACAGGGAGUUUGUUGAAAAUUCAUUUUUGUUGUUAGAUUAGGCCAAAUUAGGCUUACCGGUUUAGCUGUUUGAUGAGGUUUUUAAGUGUGAACAUGGUUUAGCAACAUGGAAGCCGGUUUUCAUGGUGUCAUCGAAGGUGUUAGAAUUGGCGAGAAACACUGCUAAAUAACAAGUACAUAAUCAUUCCCUGGCAUGCUUUGUUGCCAAUUAGGAACAAUGAAGAGCUUGCAAAAUUACUAGCUGGGGUUACGGUUCUGCAUCGUGAUGUUCUUCCGAAUAUUAACCCAGUUAUGUUGUCGAAGAAGACCGUUGCAAAGCAGCCUAAAUCUCCAUCGAAGGCUACCAUGUAGCCAAAAAAGAUGACUAAAGUAGAUCACUAGAUUGCUACAUUUGUGUUAUUUUUGUGUUAGUUUCUUUGAUCAUGUUAUUGUUAUUAUGAUAAAUCUAUCAGAUAGUUGGGUUUAUGGUA